rnacentral:rRNA from 1 species
GAGUUUGAUCGUGGCUCAGAACGAACGCUGGCGGCGUGGAUAAGACAUGCAAGUCGAACGGGAGAAUUGCUAGCUUGCUAAUAAUUCUCUAGCGGCGCACGGGUGAGUAACACGUGAGUAACCUGCCCCCGAGAGCGGGAUAGCCCUGGGAAACUGGGAUUAAUACCGCAUAGUAUCGAAAGAUUAAAGCAGCAAUGCGCUUGGGGAUGGGCUCGCGGCCUAUUAGUUAGUUGGUGAGGUAACGGCUCACCAAGGCGAUGACGGGUAGCCGGUCUGAGAGGAUGUCCGGCCACACUGGAACUGAGACACGGUCCAGACACCUACGGGUGGCGAGCAGUCGAGAAUCAUUCACAAUGGGGGAAAACCCUGAUGGUGCGACGCCGCGUGGGGGAAU